UACGUAGGGUGCAAGCGUUAAUCGGAAUUACUGGGCGUAAAGCGUGCGCAGGCGGUUGUGCAAGACAGAUGUGAAAUCCCCGGGCUUAACCUGGGAAUUGCAUUUGUGACUGCACGGCUAGAGUGUGUCAGAGGGGGGUAGAAUUCCACGUGUAGCAGUGAAAUGCGUAGAUAUGUGGAGGAAUACCGAUGGCGAAGGCAGCCCCCCUGGGAUAACACUGACGCUCAUGCACGAAAGCGUGGGGGAGCAAACAGG
rnacentral:rRNA from 1 species